UACUCCUUCACAAUGGAAGUAAGAAAGAU
rnacentral:piRNA from 1 species